UCCUACGGGAGGCAGCAGUGGGGAAUAUUGCACAAUGGGCGCAAGCCUGAUGCAGCAACGCCGCGUGAGGGACGAAGGCCUUCGGGUUGUAAACCUCUUUUAGUAGGGAAGAAGCGACUGGGUUUUCCUGGGAGUGACGGUACCUGCAGAAAAAGCACCGGCUAACUACGUGCCAGCAGCCGCGGUAAUACGUAGGGUGCAAGCGUUGUCCGGAAUUAUUGGGCGUAAAGAGCUCGUAGGCGGUUUGUCGCGUCUGCUGUGAAAACCCGAGGCUCAACCUCGGGCCUGCAGUGGGUACGGGCAGACUAGAGUGCGGUAGGGGAGAUUGGAAUUCCUGGUGUAGCGGUGGAAUGCGCAGAUAUCAGGAGGAACACCAAUGGCGAAGGCAGAUCUCUGGGCCGUAACUGACGCUGAGGAGCGAAAGCAUGGGGAGCGAACAGGAUUAGAUACCCUGGUAGUCCAUGCCGUAAACGUUGGGAACUAGAUGUGGGGACCAUUCCACGGUCUCCGUGUCGCAGCUAACGCAUUAAGUUCCCCGCCUGGGGAGUACGGCCGCAAGGCUAAAACUCAAAGGAAUUGACGGGGGCCCGCACAAGCGGCGGAGCAUGCGGAUUAAUUCGAUGCAACGCGAAGAACCUUACCAAGGCUUGACAUAUACCGGAAACGGCUGGAAACAGUCGCCCCGCAAGGUCGGUAUACAGGUGGUGCAUGGUUGUCGUCAGCUCGUGUCGUGAGAUGUUGGGUUAGGUCCCGCAACGAGCGCAACCCUCGUCCUAUGUUGCCAGCACGUAAUGGUGGGAACUCAUGGGAUACUGCCGGGGUCAACUCGGAGGAAGGUGGGGAUGACGUCAAAUCAUCAUGCCCCUUAUGUCUUGGGCUUCACGCAUGCUACAAUGGCCGGUACAAAGGGCUGCGAUACCGCAAGGUGGAGCGAAUCCCAAAAAGCCGGUCUCAGUUCGGAUUGAGGUCUGCAGCUCGACCUCAUGAAGUCGGAGUCGCUAGUAAUCGCAGAUCAGCAACGCUGCGGUGAAUACGUUCCCGGGCCUUGUACACACCGC
rnacentral:rRNA from 1 species